rfam:Stegodyphus mimosarum contig39083, whole genome shotgun sequence.
ACCGGCACCGGUGGCGUGGUGCUGUAAUCCAGCUGCUUGGAGGUCUGAGCUGCUGGACGGCGUGAGGUUGGGAGUUCUGUCCUCUGUUUCACUAUGUCGAUCAGGCGUCCGCACUAAGCACGGCGUCGAUAUGGUUGAACUGGGGGAGCUCGGAUCCACCAGGUCGUCUAAGGAGGAGCGAACCGGCCCAGGGCGGAAAUGCAUCGCUCAGAAGUGGGAUAUCGCCUAUUUGGUCGCCAAAUUAGCGAUAAAGUCGCCAAUCUGGCAACCCUGCCAUACACUAUUUUAU